UACGGAGGGGGCUAGCGUUGUUCGGAAUUACUGGGCGUAAAGCGCACGUAGGCGCGCUGGCCAGUUGGGGGUGAAAGCCCGAGGCUUAACCUCGGAACUGCCCUCAAUACUGCCAGUCUAGAGUCCGGGAGAGGUGAGUGGAAGUCCUAGUGUAGAGGUGAAAUUCGUAGAUAUUAGGAAGAACACCAGUGGCGAAGGCGGGUCACUGGCCCGGUACUGACGCUGAGGUGCGAAAGCGUGGGGAGCAAACAGG
rnacentral:rRNA from 1 species